CUGUGAUAAACGUUUUCAGGUAAAAUAUAGCAUCAUUAAAUUGUCACACAAAUCAAAUGACCCUCAUCUAGCGGACAGUUUAACAGCGAAUACACCUCACUUCAUGAUAUAUUACUCGUAAAAUAAAGCUUGUACAGCCUGUACUACUGUAGACACGUAAAAAUCUCACAUCUUGUGACAAAGUCUGCCAACAAGCCGUCAACAAGAUGUAUUCGCACUGCUUGUCACAAGUUGUCAACAGGUUUGGAACAACUUGUAACAACCUUGUCGAAAUUAUCAGACUUGUUGCAAGGUUGUUCUGACAAGUCCGUUACAUGCUUGAUAUAACAAGAUUGUUACAACCUAGUGUUGACAACCUUGUAACACCCUUGUUAUAUCAUGGCUGUAACAAACUUGUUAGCACAGUCUUGUAACAAGGCUGAUAACGCCAUCAAGCUUGUUACAAGUUGUUAACCGCUUGUUCCAAACUUGUUACAACAAACUGGGAACAAGCAAUGUGAAGACAACUUGUUGGCAGCUUGUGAACAGACGUGUAACAACUUGUUUGCAGACUUGUUACAACUUGUGCGUUUUUACGUGUGUACCAGAGUAUGCAUGAACGACUUAAGCCCCGAGGAUGAGAGUUGAUGAGAGUUGGUAGUCACGUAUUGCUACGGGGGUCAUUUCAAGCUCUAGAUUAACAAAAUAAAGUUUUGAUAAGUGUCCCAACUAUGUUUUAUAACUUAAAUAGAAGACAUGAUAGUGUUGGGAAAGCAUCAAGAACAGCUAACCAAGCUCGCGUGACUGCCAAACUCUCAUACACUCGCAUCCUCGCUUGGUCCGGGCAUAACACAUCUGUCCUUUUGUUCUAAUUUCCAGGCACCAUGGUCUAUGACGUUUUGGUUAGUCUAUGAACAAAUCCGUAAAAUGGCUGGAACUUCGGGAUUUUAACAUCGUCACAUAUAAUGUAGGUACAAUUAUGAAAAUUACACAUUCCAUAUACGACGUAUCCAUACGUAUUUCUUCAAACCAUGCGUCAUUAUUUAUAUCAUAGAGAGCAUCCAAUGUUUUCAGCUAUAGACAAAAUUUUGAUCUGGACAAGAAGAACGAAACCAUUACCAUAGCUGGAAAGAGCAUCUUAAAAUGAGUAAAAUUGCAAAGUUUGGUUGCGAAUUGUUGUAAAAUGAGGAAAAUAU